rfam:Ensifer adhaerens OV14 chromosome 1 sequence.
AUCGAUCGGGGCGGCGCACUCCUCCUCCCAGCGCCCCUCGAUUUGGAUUGGCAGCACUCCUCCUCCCAGUUGCCGAUCAGAAUAAAACGACGCUCGCUGGAUCUCCUCCCCCAGCGGGCGUUGUUU